AGAGAGAGAGAGGCGACUUCAGAGAGAUACAGAGAGAGAGAGAGAGAGCGAUCGACACUUGGUGGUUCGAUCUGGAUCGAUUCUUCGUCAUUUUGAUCUUGAAAAGCUGGUUCUGUAUUUGAUUUGAGCGUUUAUCUUAGUUAUUGUUCGAAUCUCUGUAAUUUAAAUCGAUCUAGGGCUCGUUCUUCUUCGUGUUUGGGUGCGGCAUGGCUCAAAGUAAGGGAUUUGUUGAAUUCACCGAAGAUCUGUGUAGUUUCAUGGCUAAAAAGUAACGAUCUGGAAUGUAUUUACGUUGAUGUUUGUAAAUUCAAUUUCUUCUUCACUCGAUUUGGUUGAAAUCUAGCAUUUUUUGCUUUUGCCUUUUGUGUUUUGCUUCUUUCUUCUAAUUUUCGUUCUCUUCAUCUUUAUGGUCCAUGCAUUGGGAUGGAGUUCUUGAUCACCAGCAAAUGGAAAGAAUGGAGUGGUGAUAGAGAGAUGUUGCUGCCGAUCGAGAGUUGCAUCCAACAGCCUCGGUAUCACAGAACACUAGUUCAGGGACUUGAAGCGUGGUGCUAUGUCCUUCAUCAACAGCUCAGCCUUAUAAAUCUCUGCUUCAAGUAGACCAAUUUCAAGCUCAUUUGAUCUCUGCUUCAGUCUAUACACCACCAUUGAAGAGCUUAAUCGAGUUUGGCCAGGUCAAACUCAUCCAAAAGGCAUACAUGGCACUUAAUGAUAUAGAUGCUGCUGUCGAAAGUUUCAAGAAGGCAUUGGAAUUGGAGCCAAAUGAUGCUGGAAUAAAAAAGGAGCUGGCUGCUGCAAAGAAGG